UACAGAGGUUGCAAGCGUUAAUCGGAAUUACUGGGCGUAAAGCGCGCGUAGGUGGCAAGUUAAGUCGGAUGUGAAAGCCCUGGGCUCAACCUAGGAAUUGCAUUCGAUACUGGCUCGCUCGAGUUUGGUAGAGGAGAGUGGAAUUCCCGGUGUAGCGGUGAAAUGCUUAGAUAUCGUCAAGAACACCGAUAGCGAAGGCAGCUUACUAGACUGUAACUGACGCUGAUGCACGAAAGUGUGGGGAUCAAACAGG
rnacentral:rRNA from 1 species